GAUGAACGCUGGCGGCGUGCCUAAUACAUGCAAGUCGAGCGAACAGACGAGGAGCUUGCUCCUCUGACGUUAGCGGCGGACGGGUGAGUAACACGUGGAUAACCUACCUAUAAGACUGGGAUAACUUCGGGAAACCGGAGCUAAUACCGGAGAAUAUAUUGAACCGCAUGGUUCAAUAGUGAAAGACGGUUUUGCUGUCACUUAUAGAUGGAUCCGCGCCGCAUUAGCUAGUUGGUAAGGUAACGGCUUACCAAGGCAACGAUGCGUAGCCGACCUGAGAGGGUGAUCGGCCACACUGGAACUGAGACCCGGUCCAGACUCCUACGGGAGGCAGCAGUAGGGAAUCUUCCGCAAUGGGCGAAAGCCUGACGGAGCAACGCCGCGUGAGUGAUGAAGGUCUUCGGAUCGUAAAACUCUGUUAUUAGGGAAGAAAAAAUGUGUAAGUAACUAUGCACGUCUUGACGGUACCUAAUCAGAAAGCCACGGCUAACUACGUG
rnacentral:rRNA from 1 species